CUCCCUCUCUGCUAUCUGGCAUUCGCCCACAGUCUCAAGGUAAACCACAGAAAACCUUGAGCAGAUAGUCGAGCAUUAAACUGAACUCUUAAAAUCUUAUGUGCCGUGUUUUCACAAAGGUCAGUGUAAAAGUGUGUAAUGUGGCUUCAUGA